UACGUAGGGUGCGAGCGUUGCCCGGAUUUAUUGGGCGUAAAGGGCGCGUAGGCGGCCACGCACGUCCGUUGUGAAAACGCCCGGCUCAACUGGGCGGGGUCGGCGGAUACGGCGUGGCUGGAGCAAGCUAGGGGGCAAUGGAAUUCCCGGUGUAGUGGUGGAAUGCGUAGAUAUCGGGAGGAACACCAGUGGCGAAGGCGGUUGCCUGGAGCUUUGCUGACGCUGAGGCGCGAAAGCGUGGGGAGCGAUCCGG
rnacentral:rRNA from 1 species